CCUACGGGAGGCUGCAGUGAGGAAUAUUGGUCAAUGGACGAAAGUCUGAACCAGCAACGUAGCGUGAAGGAUGACUGCCCUAUGGGUUGUAACCUUCUUUUAUAUGGGAAUAAAAUGUUCCACGUGUGGGAUUUUGUAUGUCCCAUAUGAAUAAGGAUCGGAUAACUCCGUGCCAGAAGCCGCGGUAAUACGGAGGAUCCGAGCGUUAUCCGGAUUUAUUGGGGUUAAAGGGAGCGUAGGUGGAUUGUUAAGUCAGUUGUGAAAGUGUGCGGCGCAACCGUAAAAUUGCAGUUGAAACUGGCAGUCUUGAGUACAGUAGAGGUGGGCGGAAUUCGUGGUGUAGCGGUGAAAUGCUUAGAUAUCACGAAGAACUCCGAUUGCGAAGGCAGCUCACUGGACUGCAACUGACACUGAGGCUCGAAAGUGUGGGUAUCAAACAGGAUUAGAUACCCUUGUAGUC
rnacentral:rRNA from 1 species